AUGGAUGCCAGAGUCUGUCAUGAGAAGAAAGUGAUUCUGAAAACCUUUUUCCAAAUAAAACAAGCUUGUGAGAAUUUUGCUGCCAACAAAUCUAUUCCACUAUUCUUGAUUUCAGUGAUGAUUCAGAUCUGUGGCAGGCACAUGAUUGCCCUUGGGGGUGAGAGACAGCUGGUGCUGGGCAGUCACCAAGAGACACCACUGGCCCCAGGGCAGAACCCACAGACGACACCUCCUCCUGGAAUGCAACAAAGGUCACUGGCAGGACAAACCAGGAGCCUGGAAUUGUUUUCAAUUCAUUUUCAACCUGAUGGUAAACUCCUUUCAGAGCUUUUUCCAGCUAUGAGAGAAGACAGCAAACAGCGACAGGAACUCCUACAAGGAGCAUCCAUGUUUCACCUGCCUCUCUUAAGCAGCCUGAAUUUGGAAAUCUCCAGACCAGAGUGAUACUAGAAAAAGCACAGAACCUGAUAAAUAACAAUGGGUUUGGCCCAAGCCCAAUGGGAGGCCAAUAUGGUGUGUGUUCUGACACAAGAGAGCAGGUCAUUUCUCCAGUGUGUGCUGCAGGAAGCCUGUGUUAAAAGAAGCAGGCCUUAGAAGGUGCUACAGUGCACAACCAUCAGAGUCAGAAAUCUGGGAUCAAAUUCUGGUGACCUAUUGACUAGAAGUGUUAACUUGAACAAGUCAAUGGACCACUCUUGACCUGUUUCCUUGUUUGCAAAAUGAGUAUAAUAACAUCAUCCACAUUACAGAGAUAUUGCAUGAAUUAAAUGAGAGAAGGCAUACUAGCUGGCACAUUUUUAUGUCUCAUACACAGAGACACACAGACACACACACACACAGACACACACACACACACACACACACACACACAGAGAGAGAGAAAGAGAGAGAGAGAGAGAGAGAGAGAGAGAGAGAGAGAGAGAGAGAGAGUCAUCAGAACAAAUAACCAAAACUUUUGCAGUUUUAGAGCCAGAAGUUCAACAUCAAGAGAUCUUCAAAGCUUACUCCUCCAGGGCUCUGGAGUUGGAAAUCUAUUUUUCACCCCUUCCAGCUUGAAAGUUCCAUACAUUCCUGGAGUUACAUCAAUCCAAUUCCUCUUCCAUGUUUCUGUGAUUUUCUGCACAUGUCUGCCUCUCAGGCCCAUCUGGUUAUCCAAGGUGAUCUCAUCUCAGCAUCCCUAACUUGAUUACUUAAGCAUAUAGCCUCUAUUUCCAAAUAAGGUCACAUUCAUGAGCUUAAUGAUAUAUACAUAACUCAUUGGGGACGACCCUAUUAACCUAAAUCUGAGUGCUUUUUUUCAGCCAGAAAUUUAGGAGGCUCCUGUGCUGGCUGGGUUUGAGUCUGUCUCUACCACCUGCUGUCACUGGACUUUGUACCUGGUUUCCCCAUCCAUUAAGUGAGGCUCAUUGUUCUAGUCAACUUGCUGUUAUUGCAAUGAAUACCGAAGGUAAUCAACUUAAGAAGAGGAAAGUUUUCUUUAGGCUCAUGGCUUUGGAGGUUUCUGCUCAAACCAUGGUGGGGAACAUGUGCCAGAGUAAAGCUGUUGACUUUACGGUCAAGAUUCUGAAGAGAGAAGAAAAAGCUGGGGUCUCACUGUUCCUCUAAGCGCCCUUCCCUCCUCUUAAUCUUUCAUUAUGCCCUCAUAGCACUGAGUUGGGAACCCACCUUUUAACACAAGGAUAUAGUUGUUUGUUUUACUCUUUAUUCUUUGGCUCUUCGGGGGCAUGACAUCCAGCUCCCAAAUAAACCACACAGAGUCUUAUUCUUACUUAUGAAU
rnacentral:lncRNA from 1 species